ACGUAGGCAGCGAGCGUUGUUCGGAGUUACUGGGCGUAAAGAGUGUGUAGGCGGUUCGCUAAGUUUGGUGUGAAAUCUCCCGGCUUAACUGGGAGGGUGCGCCGAAUACUGGUGGGCUUGAGUGCGGGAGGGGAAAGCGGAAUUCCUGGUGUAGCGGUGAAAUGCGUAGAUAUCAGGAGGAACACCUGCGGUGUAGACGGCUUUCUGGACCGCCACUGACGCUGAGACACGAAAGCGUGGGGAGCAAACAGGAUUAGAUACCCUGGUAGUCCACGCCCUAAACGAUGCACACCUGGUGUGGGCAGUUCAUUCUGUCCGCGCCGAAGCUAACGCAUUAAGUGUGCCGCCUGGGGAGUACGGUCGCAAGGCUG
rnacentral:rRNA from 1 species